GUCUGACGCGCCUGCCGCGUGAGGUGAUGACAGGUUUUCGGAUUGUAAACCUCUGUUAUAAGAGAAGAAUACUAGGUAUAGUGAAAUGAUAUCUAGCUGACGGUAUCUUAUCAGAAAGGGACGGCUAACUACGUGCCAGCAGCCGCGGUAAUA
rnacentral:rRNA from 1 species